UACAGAGGUCUCAAGCGUUGUUCGGGUUCAUUGGGCGUAAAGGGUGCGUAGGUGGCGCUGUAAGUCGGGUGUGAAAUUUCGGAGCUUAACUCCGAAACUGCAUUCGAUACUGCGGUGCUUGAGGACUGGAGAGGAGACUGGAAUUCAUGGUGUAGCAGUGAAAUGCGUAGAGAUCAUGAGGAAGACCAGUGGCGAAGGCGGGUCUCUGGACAGUUCCUGACACUGAGGCACGAAGGCCAGGGGAGCAAACGGG
rnacentral:rRNA from 1 species